rnacentral:rRNA from 1 species
ACCCCAGCCCAGGCGAGGGUACCCGCCGAGUUUAAGCAUAUCAAUAAGCGGAGGAAUCA